rnacentral:rRNA from 1 species
GGAUGAACGCUGGCGGCGUGCCUAAUACAUGCACGUCGAGCGAACGGACGAGAAGCUUGCUUCUCUGAUGUUAGCGGCGGACGGGUGAGUAACACGUGGAUAACCUACCUAUAAGACUGGGAUAACUUCGGGAAACCGGAGCUAAUACCGGAUAAUAUUUUGAACCGCAUGGUUCAAAAGUAAAAGACGGUCUUGCUGUCACUUAUAGAUGGAUCCGCGCUGCAUUAGCUAGUUGGUAAGGUAACGGCUUACCAAGGCAACGAUGCAUAGCCGACCUGAGAGGGUGAUCGGCCACACUGGAACUGAGACACGGUCCAGACUCCUACGGGAGGCAGCAGUAGGGAAUCUUCCGCAAUGGGCGAAAGCCUGACGGAGCAACGCCGCGUGAGUGAUGAAGGUCUUCGGAUCGUAAAACUCUGUUAUUAGGGAAGAACAUAUGUGUAAGUAACUGUGCACAUCUUGACGGUACCUAAUCAGAAAGCCACGGCUAACUACGUG